ACAGAGGGUGCAAGCGUUAAUCGGAGUUACUGGGCGUAAAGGGCGCGUAGGCUGGUAUUUAAGUCGAUUGUGAAAUCCCUGGGCUUAACCUAGGAAUUGCAGUCGAUACUGAAUGUCUUGAGUAUGGUAGAGGAAAGUGGAAUUCUCGGUGUAGGGGUUAAAUACGUAAAUAUCGAGAAGAACCCCGGUGGGGAAGGCGACUUUCUGGACCAAUACUGACGUUGAGGGGCGAAAGCGUGGGAGCAAACAG
rnacentral:rRNA from 1 species